rnacentral:lncRNA from 1 species
UGCCAUGCCCGUGUCAAACCCCAUGAGCUCCUGCUGCCUGUGCACGUCUCGCUCCAUCCCGUCUCUCUGCGGGCAGCCUGCGGUCCGCGCAAAUCCGGCCGCGGCUCAGGGCGGGCGGGCGGCUGCCCCCACUCCUCCCGGGGCCGCGGAGCUCCGCCGGCCGCCCGCCGCUCAGCCCCGCCGCCGCCCGGGGGCUGCGGGCCGCCCCGCCGC